UUCCGGUUGAUCCCGCCGGACCUGACUGCUAUCGGAUUGAUACUAAGCCAUGCGAGUCAUUGUAGCAAUACAAGGCAUACGGCUCAGUAACGCGUAGUCAACCUAACCUAUGGACGGGAAUAACCUCGGGAAACUGAGAAUAAUGCCCGAUAGAACAUUAUGCCUGGAAUGGUUUAUGUUCCAAAUGAUUUAUCGCCGUAGGAUGGGACUGCGGCCUAUCAGUUUGUUGGUGAGGUAAUGGCCCACCAAGACUAUUACAGGUACGGGCUCUGAGAGGAGUAGCCCGGAGAUGGGUACUGAGACACGGACCCAGGCCCUAUGGGGCGCAGCAGGCGAGAAAACUUUGCAAUGUGCGAAAGCACGACAAGGUUAAUCCGAGUGGUUUCUGCUAAAGAAACCUUUUGUCAGUCCUAGAAACACUGAUGAAUAAGGGGUGGGCAAGUUCUGGUGUCAGCCGCCGCGGUAAAACCAGCACCUCAAGUGGUCAGGAUGAUUAUUGGGCCUAAAGCAUCCGUAGCCGGCUCUGUAAGUUUUCGGUUAAAUCUGUACGCUCAACGUACAGGCUGCCGGGAAUACUGCAGAGCUAGGGAGUGGGAGAGGUAGACGGUACUCGGUAGGAAGGGGUAAAAUCCUUUGAUCUAUUGAUGACCACCUGUGGCGAAGGCGGUCUACCAGAACACGUCCGACGG
rnacentral:rRNA from 2 species